CCUCUCCGCCCCUCUCCCACUUAUUCUCUCUCUCUCUCUCUCAAAAUAAAUAAACUUAAAAAAAAAAAAAAGACUGUGCGAGGACAGAUUUGAGGAUCAGGAAACAGGACAGAGAGGACCUGUGAGGAGCUGCGUUUGAGCCAGAGCAUUGGUGGUGGGAAUUUGGGGGAGAGUAAAAUCAGCUGAACCUGGUAACUGCUAGAAAUGGAGAAUGAGAAAGAGGGAGAAGCCUCGAAUGUCUCCCGGGCCUCCCUCCUGGUGACAGCGACCUGAAUCUCACCACUGGGCACAGGACAGAGCUCUGGAGAAUGAAGGGUUUGAAAUAGUUGAGAGGGGCGAAAUCGAAGUGAAAGGGAAAGGGAAAAUGACCACCUACUUUCUGAUCCGGAACCUGCAUGCCUCGGAGGACGAGAUCAUGGGCAGACCUCACAGCCGGCUUGAUCGCAAGGGUGAGCAGAAAAGAGAAGCCGCAUCUCAGUGUCAGAUAUUUUUUCCACUAACAAUUUCAGAUGUGUUUAGUGGGGCCCUUGGGCAUGUGGGGUCGGCGUGGGUCAUCCCUUUGCACGACUUUCUUUGGGUCGAGGCUCCCAAGGAUCAGAGCAACCAGGAUGAACACUUGCAUCCGGGGUAGUCUGAUGCCCCUGGAGCUGGGCUGAUGGGCCCAGCCUAAAGGGUCCCUCAUGCAUUCAUUUUCAAGGUUCUUGCCGGUCCCACAAGGGGGCUUUCACAUCUGUCUGUCCUGCAGCUGGGGGAUGCCUUUAGAAGCUCUCUGCUUCUCAGCCUCAGAGGAGACUCCAGGACUGGCUUUCCUCACACCCUGAAACCAUCCACCUUUCUCAUUUUCUGCUGGCUUCUAAAACUGGGAAGAAGGACAAAAUCUGUGACUCACACAGCCCCAGGAAUGACGGGAGAGUGAGUUUAGGUUAAAACAACCCAGUGCUAAGCCAGCCCAGGGAUCACCAUUUGGCUCACAGUGCCGCAGCAGAUGGAAUCCAAUGAGGAGGUUUCUAUCGGCUGCCAGGCAGGCCCCUCCGCCCCACACGGUCAGGGCCCCUUAACAUCUGCCCUGGUUAAUGCUGGGAGGUGCUGACCCGACCGGGAAACCCAGGAGCAGGAGGAAAACCUCCCUGAACCUCUGAAGCAAAGUGGAGGAGGAAGUGGAUUCGUUCUGACAGGAGCUAAUCUCUAGCUGCUCCAGGGGCUUGCCAAGGAAAAUCUCGAAACCCAGGGGUUUCUGGUUGCUAAUACGUGCGGGAGUUCUCUUUGGGACACAUGGGUUAACGUUACUAUUUUUUAAAGUGGGGCUAUCCCAAUAAAGAGAUGGGUAUUUAAAGAGCUUGAAAUAUUGUUUUCAUAGCACGUUCACCUCGCAUCGGUCUCCCUGUGAGCUGGGACGGGUUGGGGCCACAUUUGACUGAUACAGACACUGAGAUAGAGAGAUCUAAGUUAAAAACUAGGAAUAACUUUGGCUGGUAUAGACCAGAGGGCACCCUUAACAGAGUUUUGGGCCUGAAUUUCUAGGCUCAAGGUGCCUCGCCCAUGACAUCACCUUCUCCCUCCCACCAGCAUGCCCUCCCCACAGGGAGGAUUGCCAGAAAGGGAGAAGCAAGGCUCCCCCCCCCCCACACACUUUUUUGCUUUGUUGUCAGAACUAGACAAAGUAAAUGGGGAGAGGCGUUGUGCCACCUGAUUGUGUGAGAGGAGAGACAGAGCUGGAGGCUUUAGCACCAGGACGCAACAGCAUCCAGCCCAGAUGCACCUAGCUGAAACUCCAUACCGCUUUCUCCCUUGUUGCCCCCGCAGGGGUUCUCAGAUGGGAAAGUUUGAGAAACAGGAUCCUAGAACAUGGCGUGGGUCAGUCGACUCUAAACCGCGUUCGGUUCUGAGCUGGAAAAACAAUACUAACCAACAGCAGGAUAUGAGUAAGCUGCCUCAGUUAAAGAUUUCACUGUGGACCUUGAGAAAGAGAAAGGGUGUGAAAGAGAGGGAGGGCUAGCCCCUUCUGGACCCUAAACAGCAUCUCUGUGCAAGUUGGGGAAAAGCACACUUUGGGGGGGGGUAGAUAUCUCCCCAGGUAUGGUUGAUGGCAAAGGAAAGUCACCUGUUCCUCUGGGCUGACGUCAGCCCCACUCCUGACCUCCUUGGCCAGGUAUCUCCAUGCAGAGAAAUGGCAGAAAGAUCUCAGCCUUUUUUCUUUCCAUGCUUCUCUCCAUUUCCCCCUCCCCAUCAGCCUAGGAUCUCCUGCCAGGAGCGGAGGUUCGAGCCCUGGGGAAGGGAGUGCCUGCCCCUCCCAUCCCCACUGCAGCACAGUGCUGGAGAUGGCCCCCAAACAUGAUCCCAUUAGCCUGCAGGGGCCAAGGGGCUUUGCCCCACACAGCAAGACCCAGCCUCUCAAAGCCAGUGAUGGGGGAGGGGGAUACAGAAACACUAAUAUGCACGCUAAUGUUCUUCCCGAAUUGGCCUCUUUCCUCAGAUUAUCUCCCAUAGGACACACACACUGGUGUUUUGGGUGAUUUGGGGGAGGAGCGGGAAGAAGUCCAAGGAGAUGAAAGUGAGCAGAGUGGCACUGAGGCCCACGCUAAGAACUAUGGGUAACUGCAGUGGAGCAGGGUGAGGGGGCCUCAGCAGUGACCUUCCGGUGCCCUUGUGGGUCCGAGCUCCUCCCCCACCUGGCAGGAGGGGACACCCGGGAGGUAACAGGAGCAAGAAAGGAUGGCACCCCGGAGCGCUCUUGCUCAAACCAUUCUCCUUUCUCCCUUUUGUUCUCCAAAGCAAGUGCAUUUACUGAUUCAUCUUCUAGCUGGUGAAUGCGUUAAACAUAUUAAAUGGCACAUAAUCUCCCCAGACAUUUAACAGGUGGAACCACUGUCCAGCAAGUCCUUCACACGACGGGCACCUGAGGAAAUACCCACGGGGCUGCUGAUGUUCAGAGGCACCAAAGAAAGGCCCCCACUUCUGCAGCUCAUGAGGUUGGCUUGCCACCCUCACUUUCCCUUCCCCACCUGCUUGUUUGCAGAAGCAAGUACUCAAGGACGUCAAGACAGAGCAGCUGUUGCCAUCAUGCAGUACAAGGACAGUAGGCAGCUGUCCCUGAAGAGUGACACAGCAGAUGCUUCUGAUGAAAUGACACCUGAAGGGAGUUCAGAGGCAGGACAGGACUCCGUGGAGGCAGCUGACAGACAGCGGUCUUCAGAUCAGACAGAGACACCUCGCUUUCC